AUGCCCUUACUUUUGGAUUUUCAUUCGGAGAAAGACCCCAUCAGAGAGUGUCAAGAGCUUCUAAGACAGCACCAGUGUCUCGUGGUUAUUGAUGGUCUCCGGUCUAAAGAAGAAUGGGACUUGAUACAGGCUGCCUUGGUAUCCAGAUCUUCUACAAGUGUUAUCAUCGUCAUUACAACUGAGGCAAGCGUCGCCACAUACUGCGCAAAUAACAAAGAGCAAGUGCUUAAUGUGAAAGGUCUGGAAGCUGCUGCAGCCUUUGAUCUCUUCAGGAAAGAGGUACGCAAGAAGGCGUCGUCUUCGUCUUUAAAUAAUCACAAAGAUUCAGCGCUGGAUGAACUUAUUUUGAAGUGUGGAGGUCUUCCCAAAGUGAUAGUUGCCAUAGCUGCUGUACUAGCCACGCGGACGGUGGGAUUGAUGGAUACUGUACAUUCCUUGAAUCACAGAUUUAUGCAGCAUCUAGAGACCAAUCUGGAGUAUGAUAGUCUGCGAGCCCUAUUUGAUUGGAUGCAUUCCUACUUCCGUAAUUGUCCGGAUUCACUCAAGCCAUGCAUCUUUUAUCUAUCAAUUUUUCCUGAAGGUUGUAACAUUAGGCGCAGGCGGCUAGUUAGGAGGUGGAUUGCAGAGGGUUACUCUAGGGACAACGAGAAAAGAUCCGCUGAGGAGCAGGGUGAGAAGUUCUUCUCCAAGCUCCUCGCGCUGAGCAUAAUCCAGCAGAUACCAGAGGUCGGCACCACUGCCUUUGGUGAGACAAGGAUGGUAAGGUGCCAGGUCACUGGCUUCAUCCGUGAGUACAUCGUCUCACGGAGAAUGGAAGAGAACCUUGUGUUUGAACUCGGGCCCAAUUGUGCCCUAACGACCCAGCGAACAGGGCACCACCUUAUCAUACACAGAGACUGGGACAGUGACAGGAUUGUAUUCGAGAGCAUUGACUUCUCACGGCUACGGUCAAUGACAGUGUUUGGAAAGUGGGAAUCCUUCUUGAUCUCGAAAAACAUGAGGCUGGUUCGGGUGCUUGAUUUGGAGGAUGCAUCAGCUGUCAAGGAUGAAGACCUCAGGAAGAUUGUGAAGCGGCUGCGGCGCCUUAAGUUUCUCUCUUUACGAGGAUGCAGCGAUAUCUUCCAUCUGCCGAGUUCACUUGGUGUUCUGAGCCAGCUCCAGAGCCUGGAUGUGAGACACACCUCCAUUGUCACCCUGCCAACCAGCAUCACCAAGUUACACAGGUUGUAG
rnacentral:rRNA from 1 species